rnacentral:lncRNA from 1 species
AGUGGAAAGUCCGAAUUGGGGAAACUCGCCCUGUGUGGGUGGUCCUUGAAAAGGAGGAUCUCCACCUCCAGUGUGUGAAGGGAUGGCCGUAACCAAAUAAGGACUUCGUUCCCCGACGGCUGCGGAAGCUGUGGAGCUUGGUACACUCCAAUUUCCAGUUUCUGUGAAAACUCAGUAGAGAGAUAAAUGUUGUUUUCAUCAAGUGUAUGUAGCGGCUAUUAUUUCUUCCUGAAAAACAAACAAGCAAGCACACAAUCCAAUGAGGAAGAAUGGAAUAAAGCUCUGUAUCAGUCAGGGUUCAACAGAAACAGUAUGUAUAUUAUACAUAUACUAAGAGACUUAAAGAAUAGACUUUAUACAAUUGUAGGGGUGGCAAGUCCAGAAUUUGUAGGGCAAGUAAUCUGGCAGCCUAGAAACUGAGGCAGAAGUUGAUGUUUCAGUCUUGUGGAAUUUCUUCUUCUCCAGGAAACCUCAGUUUUCUGUUCUUAAGACCUUCAGCUGAUUGGAUAAGGGCCCCCCACUUAUCAAGGGUAGCUGCUUAAUUUAAAGUCAGCUGAUUGUAGAUGUUAACAAUAUCUACAAAAUACCUUCACAGCAACACCUAGAUUAGUGUUUGACUAAAUAACUGGGAUUAACUAACAAUCACGGUUACCUGUUGUGGUAACCAUGUUGGAGGAAACAAGUCUGGAAGUUUUUCAGAUGUAACCCAAUCUGCCCAAGAAUGGCUGGGGAAAGGAGAUGGAACAGAUGUCAUCUCUUGUCCUUCCCUCCAGACAUCCUCAACACCAUUUCCCCACUGCUUGUGCAGCCAUGGGGGUGAGCAAAG